UGUCUUCAGGGCGGGGUGCGAUUCCCCACCGGCGGUAUAGUCCGCGACCGGCCAUCCGAAAGGAUGUCCGCUGACCCGGUGAAACUCCGGGACCGACAGUGAAGCCUCCAUGCGGAGGCGACAGUCUGGAUGGAAGAAGAU
rnacentral:ncRNA from 1 species